GUGUUCACUUCAGCAGCACAUAUACUAAAACUGGAAUGAUACAGAGAAAAUUAGCACGGCCCCUGCCCAAGGGUGAUACGAAAAUGUGUAAAGCAUUCCACAUUAAA
ensembl:snRNA U6 U6 spliceosomal RNA